AUUGAACGCUGGCGGCAUGCCUUACACAUGCAAGUCGAACGGUAACAGGUCUUCGGAUGCUGACGAGUGGCGAACGGGUGAGUAAUGCAUCGGAACGUGCCCAGUAGUGGGGGAUAGCCCGGCGAAAGCCGGAUUAAUACCGCAUACGACCUGAGGGUGAAAGGGGGGGAUCGCAAGACCUCUCGCUAUUGGAGCGGCCGAUGUCAGAUUAGCUAGGUGGUGGGGUAAAGGCCUACCAAGGCAACGAUCUGUAGUUGGUCUGAGAGGACGACCAGCCACACUGGGACUGAGACACGGCCCAGACUCCUACGGGAGUCAGCAGUGGGGAAUUUUGGACAAUGGGCGCAAGCGUGAUCCAGCAAUGCCGCGUGCAGGAAGAAGGCCUUCGGGUUGUAAACUGCUUUUGUCAGGGAAGAAAUCUUCUGGGUUAAUACCUCGGGAGGAUGACGGUACCUGAAGAAUAAGCACCGGCUAACUACGUGCCAGCCGCCGCAGUAAAAC
rnacentral:rRNA from 1 species